rnacentral:lncRNA from 1 species
CCAAUUAAACCUAUUUUCUUUAUAAAUUACUGUCUCAGGUAUUUCCUUAUAGCAAUACAAGAAUCACUCAAUACAUACUGAUAUCAUGAGUUUCACUGGACAUUUAAAAUAUUUUCCUCAUGAGGGAAAAUUCCCACCUUGACCUGACCUCUCAUCAGUUUUAUGUAUCUGCAGAAAAAUCCUUCUAAAAGAUUGAGAUGAGCAACAAUAGGACAAACUUUCAAAUGGUACUGUUGACUGAGAAUACAAUGGACAAUGCCAAACUGUUUACAGAUGUUAUGCUUGGCCUCUUUCCCAGUGCCAGAUAUUUGUAUGAAAGAUGAAGAGUAUAAUCUAUUUACAUACAGUGGUUUUCCUCCCCAAAACUUUUGAGCUUUGUUAUGCUUUAAUAACCAUAUGCUCUUGAAAAUUGAUUUCUUUUUUGAAGACCAUCUGCAUCUAUGUAGCUAGGCACCUAUUUCUUCCAUUUCUUCAAAACUGAAUGUUGCCCUCUUUUCACACUGCAUUCUCCUCACACUACCAGUGCCCCAGUGGAUUAUGUUUUGCUACAGUGAAGGAAAAGAAAACUCUGAAAGACGUAGUGUAGUUGCUGUAGUUUGAAUGUAUUCCUCAAAGUUUAUCCCCAAUGCAACAGUGUUGGCAGGUGGGGUCUAGUAAGGUGAUGAUUAGUUAUGAGAGCUCUGCCUUCAUGAAUGGAUUGAUGAUGUCAUUAUCACAAGGGUGGGUUGGUUACCAUGUGAGUGGGCUUGUUAUAAAAGCAAGUUCAGCCUCCUCUUGCUCUUGCUCUCUUGCCCUUCUGCCUUUUGCCAUGAGAUGACACCAGAUGCAGACCCCUCAACCUUGUACUCCUCAGUCUCCAGAACUGCGGUGGGAGAAGCAUGAAAUGCAUUUGCAGUGGCCUUGGGCCAUUGGUGGUGUCCGCAGGUGAGACAUCUCGAGUGCCUCAUGGACAAACUUCCUCAUGGAAUCCACUGGAGCAAUUAUGAGAGUCCACGGCCUCUCUUCUCUGGUUCUACCCUCUCCCAAUCUCUCACCUGUGCCGAUCACCUCAGUAAUUUGGAAACGGGCUAAGGAGGUCUCUCUUGGCACUGAGCUGUGACACCUUGGGGGAGAAAAAGUGCAGGACCAGAAAAUCUUUCUCUUCCAGUCAGUGUCAUUCAUUUAUGACCAGCGGUUGAAUCCAGUCAUAAAAUCUGAAGCUCCUGGGUACCUCUACAUCACUGGGCCUAUGAUACACUGUUUCAGAACGUACUUACACAUGGGGUGGGACGAUUUUCUUAACUAAUACUUGUGACUACUCCACAGCAAAGCUGGAAACAAAAGUAUUGGGUGAGCUAUCUUCCAAAAUCUGGAGAUGGUUUCGGAGAGAGUUUCAUUGCCAUAAAUUUAAAGGGGGAUUGGAUUUACUCAGGAAAAAUUACAAGUGAGCGUAGGAGAUAAACUAGUAAAUGCCAUAUUUGGCCCACCAGGCACAAAGAAGGGUUAUAAUUGGCUCCUUUAAGUCCUAUAUGCAGAUAUCAAAUCCCUAUACUUGCUCUUUAUUGCAUAGAAUAAAUUUACCUCACUCCUUACUUUGAAACAUGAAAUGAGGAUCAAAUUAUAGUUUCAAUUAUUGCAAAUAGUUGUACAAAUGAAAAGAUUGUCUUAUUGUGGGCAUUACACAAACCCACCAAGGAAUAAGUAAUCUUUAAAUUCUAUGAAGUGAUUUGUAAUCUGAUACAGUAAGAAAAAAAAAUCUCAGACUUUGAUUAAUUACCACCACGCUCACCGCUAUAUCACUGUCCAAUGUCAUCAUAAUUUCACUGCCACUUAAAACUACACUUCAGCCAUAGAAAGCCAAAAAAUUAGGCACUGGUGACCUGUCCAAAAGAAAAAAAAAAAAAAAGGAACAGGAAGUGGAGAAAUACCACCUCAUAAAUUUCACCCAACCACAUUUAACAGCCACCUGGAGUUCACACCAACUCACUUGGAUCUCCUAUGACGAAUAUGCCUCUAUCACAAUGUUGAGGCCACUGAGUUUCUCAUGUACUAAAAUUUGGCUUAAUGUGGUUACUCUUUCUCUCUGGGAGUUUUAAGAACAACUUCAUGGUCAUAAUAUUCUCUUUAAUAAAUAUGAUUCAUCUGAAUGUUAGAUUCCCGUUUAACUACCACAAUCUUCAGAAGAAAAGUUAUAGCUCUUACUGACUUCAGAAGCUGCUCUGGAUGACUUUAUAAUUUAUCAUCCAAAUGGAAGACGUUUGAGAGCGAAAGGAUACACUAAAAUAAUUAAAUGUAUACAAUUUUUGGAAAAUGUUUAUUGCUUAAAAAUAUUGUUUAUUGUAUGAAAUUUUGUAUAUUUAUAUUCAUGUGUCUGUAAAAACAAUUCUAUUCAAAAAUUACUUUAAAAAUUCUUUAAAGAUACAAAUAUAUUUGUAUACUUUAAAACAGGUUGAAAUAUUGAUUAUAUAAACUAUUAGAAAGUUACAUAAGCAGAAAGAAUAUUACCUGCACAUAUUUAUGUGCUUUAAUCUGCUCCUUAGCUGAAUCUGUCUCUAAUGUGUUUUUUAAAAAAUAUUUUUAAAUUAUUUUUAUUUUUCCUAUAAAAUUGUCUGAAAUAUUUGAAAUUUGAAAAUUAAAAUUCUUCAUUUAAAAAUUUGAAGUCACUGAUAUCCUUACUCACUAGACACAUCUUUGUAAAAGAACCAAAAAAAUAAAAUAUCUGUAAAUGUCCCAAGGGAACUGCUUAUCUCCAAAUAAAUUCUGCUAAAUGUGAUAUUAUCUCAAUUUCAAUUUAUUUUAAGCUGAAAUGCAUAAAUGUUUCAGCCCAAAUAUUUUCAUGGGCACUGCCUCUUUUGCCUCCAUGUAGCACAGCUUCUUCCAACAAAUUUUUUUUAAGACAACACUUGUCAAAAAAGUUGUAUCUAUUUAUAAUAUUUUUGAAAACUUCACCAAAUUAAAGCGCUGAAACAUUGUAGGCUUUGUCAAUUUUCUUUCAGUCUGAUACAAAAUACCAUUUAUCCAAUUAAAAUUAGGAAAUCAACAAAUUCUUUCCACAAGUCAGAUGUUCCAAAGCUGUUAUGUAAUUUCAAAACUAAAUGUUAGAGCCUCUUGUGAGCUCAUUCUGCAGUUCGUUCAGCUUCCCCUUGCUUUUGUAGAGAUAAAUGUUUUCCUGCCUGCAAGAUAUUGUCUUCAAUAUUUUCAGUUUGCAGAAAGCUUCAACCAGAAGUUGCUGUUUUUUCUUGCCACACCAUUUUUAAAUGCGUUGUUUAAAAAUUUUUCAGCCGAUUUUGCAUACAGUGCAACCAAAAGUUAGAUAACUCAUUUAUCAAAAUAUGAAUAUUAUUGUAGGACAUUAAGGUUGAUUUAGAAAGUAGUUAUUCAAAUGAUCAAACAUUCCUAAAAUCUUACUGAUGAGAGGCUGCAGAAAAAGCAUACCGUUAUGCUGGAGAUUUUUAAAUUCAAUAUUAGCUUUAUCACAAAAGUUUAAUUAUUCCAAUUGUGUAGAUAUAAAAAUAUUUAUGGAUUUUGACAUCUUUAGCUUCUAUUUCAAUUAGUAGAUUUUUUUAAUUAAACUUAAGUUCUGGGAUACAUGUGCAGAACGUGCAGGUUUGUUACAUAGAU